rnacentral:rRNA from 1 species
GAUGAACGCUGGCGGCGUGCCUAAUACAUGCAAGUCGAGCGAACAGACGAGGAGCUUGCUCCUCUGACGUUAGCGGCGGACGGGUGAGUAACACGUGGAUAACCUACCUAUAAGACUGGGAUAACUUCGGGAAACCGGAGCUAAUACCGGAUAAUAUAUUGAACCGCAUGGUUCAAUAGUGAAAGACGGUUUUGCUGUCACUUAUAGAUGGAUCCGCGCCGCAUUAGCUAGUUGGUAAGGUAACAGCUUACCAAGGCAACGAUGCGUAGCCGACCUGAGAGGGUGAUCGGCCACACUGGAACUGAGACACGGUCCAGACUCCUACGGGAGGCAGCAGUAGGGAAUCUUCCGCAAUGGGCGAAAGCCUGACGGAGCAACGCCGCGUGAGUGAUGAAGGUCUUCGGAUCGUAAAACUCUGUUAUUAGGGAAGAACAAAUGUGUAAGUAACUAUGCACGUCUUGACGGUACCUAAUCAGAAAGCCAUGGCUAACUACGUG